UACAGAGGGGGCAAGCGUUAUUCGGAAUUAUUGGGCGUAAAGGGCGCGUAGGCGGCUUGGCAAGUGGAAGGUGAAAUCCCUCGGCUUAACCGAGGAACUGCCCUCCAAACUGCUUCGCUUGAGACCGGGAGAGGUGAGUGGAAUUCCCAGUGUAGCGGUGAAAUGCGUAGAUAUUGGGAGGAACACCAGUGGCGAAGGCGACUUCCUGGCCUGUUCUUGACGCUGAGGCGCGAAAGCUAGGGUAGCAAACGGG
rnacentral:rRNA from 1 species